GAGGUCCCAAGCGUUGUUCGGAUUCACUGGGCGUAAAGGGUGCGUAGGUGGCGAGGUAAGUCGGAUGUGAAAGCUCGGAGCUCAACUCCGAAAUGGCAUUGGAAACUACCUUGCUCGAGGGUUGAAGGGGGACUGGAAUGCUUGGUGUAGCAGUGAAAUGCGUAGAUAUCAAGCGGAACACCAGUGGCGAAGGCGAGUCCCUGGACAACUCCUGACACUGAGGCACGAAAGCUAGGGGAGCAAACAGGAUUAGAUACCCUGGUAGUCCUAGCCGUAAACGGUGCACGUUUGCUGUAAAAGGAAUCGACCCCUUUUGUGGCGUAGCCAACGCGUUAAACGUGCCGCCUGGGAAGUACGGUCGCAAGAUUA
rnacentral:rRNA from 1 species